rnacentral:rRNA from 1 species
CACCGCCCGUCACAUCACGAAAGUGGGUUGUACUAGAAGUCAUCGCGCCAACCCGUAAGGGAGGCAGGCGCCCACGGUAUGAUCCAUGAUUGGGGUG